AGACGCCGGGGGGAGGGCACUGCGGCCAAGGGCAGGGCAGGGCAGGGCAGGAGGACCGUGAAGGCCCGCUGGCCGCAGGGGAGCCCUUCCUCCCCGGGUUCCGCGGCCAGGAGCACCCCGAGCCGUGGCUAAAGGGGCCGCUCGGCUCUCCUGCACCCCGCGAGCCCCCCUCCCCCGCCUUCCCUGUGUCCCCCGGCUUUUCCAGGAGGAAGGUGGGGUGCCCAGCGGGGGCGGGGCGCGCCGGGCCGCGGGGCCGGGCUGUCACGUGCCCCCCUCCCCCGCCACUGCGGCGGGAGUUCCAAUCAGAGCGCGCCAGGGGGCUCCUCCUGGGCAGGAACCACCCGGCUUGGCGGCGGAGGGUGGGCCGCCGUCACCUGACCGCCCGCCCCCGCCCCCCGCGAGUAAGGGGCGGUGGUAGCGUCUGCUCGGUUACAAAUGGCCCCUCCCGCCCCGCUCGCCCGCUCGCUCGGGCUCGGCGCGGACCCGCCCGGGCGCGCUCCUCGCGCCGGUUCCCGGCGUCCCGCCGCCCGGCCGGGAACCGGCCAGCGGCCCCCGCCACCCCUAAGGGCGCUGCCGACACCCGUUGCAGAGGCUCGCCGGCGGAGGUCGCUACGGGAGGCUGGACCGCGGAGGCGCGCGGCUCUCCCACCCGCAGGUCUUCCCUUGAUACGGUGAAUGGAGACUGCUCUUCUGCCUGAGAGUGGUUCAAAACGUAUCCAGGCUCUCUGUGGGAGUCCCCUGUGAACUGCAGCCACACUGAGUCCCCUCUGAACUGCAGCCACACUGCCCUCUACUUGAUGAGUACUCGGUGGUCAGACACUCAGAUGCAACCACAAAAGGUGCCGUGCAGAUCCCAGCUACCAGUGACUCCACAAUGGCCUCUGCCCUUGGGACCACUGUCUCCUAAAACAGGACUGAAGCCUGGAACGACACUGGACACAAAAGGUACAAAAAUCCUCUUGCCACCAGGUCAAGAGCUUGCAAGGGGCCAGAGGACCUUCUUGAGGGCUGACCCUGGAGCCCGACUGCAGGAAGAGGGGUGCACUGGGUAGAAAGGGUUAGGGGCAUGCAGUCCACGGAAGCAUGCCCACGUGGUGUAUUGUGGGCACUCCUCCUCCGUAAGUGAGGGGCGGGGGUCAAGCAGGGAAGUGCAUUAGGAUCUGAGACUCUAUCGGGGGCACGAAAGGAGCCUUGGAGAGGUUCAGCCAGAUUAGACAGACCCUCUGGGAGAAUCCUUCUGAUGCCCUGUAGAUGAGGGUGGGGUUAGCCUAAAGGUAGGGAGCUGAGUUAGGUCCCGCAGUCAUCUAUUCAUAUAAAAUCAUUUGUUACAAACAGCACCGUGUGUGCCCCUCAGGUUCUUGGUGCCGUUUUGAUUCAUGUCACAGAUUCAUCUACAUGCUUGCAAUAGAGUCACUGGACUACAAGAAUCUUCCUUUAAAUCAUACAUUCACCCAGCCAGUAUUAAUCCAGCAUCCCCCAUGUGGCCAAUGCUGGGGACCCAAUGGCAAGCUUAGAGUUGAGUGGAAGAGACGUCAUGCACACUGUAUAACAGGUGCCUUGAAGGAAGAGUCCCAGAUGCCUGGGAAGCAUGUCAUGAGGAGUCCAGUCUGGUCUGGGGGAUGGGAGUCAGUCCAGGAGGUGACUUUGGAGUUGAAGUCUGAAGGAGGACUUGGUAUUAAACUACACAAAAUGGAGAGGGAGGAUUCUAGGUGAAGGAAGCAGCUUGUGCAAAGGCCCUGUGGUAGGGAAGAAUAUGGCAUAUUUGAGAAGUUAGAAAAACCGAGAGGGAGAGGAGGAGGGCAGUGAAGGAUAAGGGGAAAAAAAGAGGGCCAGGACUGCCUUGCACAGUGCCGACUCCUUGCAAGCAUUUGAAGUUACUUUUGUUUUUUUAAUUUUUUUUUUUAAUGUUUAUUUAUUUUUGAGACAGAGAUAGAGCAUGAACGGGGGAGGGUCAGAGAGAGAGGGAGGCACAGAAUCUGAAGCAGGCUCCAGGCUCUGAGCUGUCAGCACAGAGCCCGACGCGGGGCUCGAACUCACGGACCGUGAGAUCAUGACCCGAGCUGAAGUCGGACGCUUAACCGACUGAGCCACCCAGGCGCCCCUGAAGUUACUUUUUUAGACAAUCAUUUUUUAUCUCUCUUUGACACCCUGAGCACGGGUGAGUUGUAGACAGAACCAAGAAGAGGUGGCUAUGGAUAGCUGUGUCCAUGGCCUCAGCUUCUCCCCUAUUCCCCAGUCUCCUUUUGCCCCUCCGAUGUAGGAAUACCAGUCCCCAGGUUCGUGAUGUUUUGCCCUCAUAGGAAUCUGUGCAGGUUUCAGUUUUAGGAACUUGGUACCAGUACCACCUUCCUACGUACACAGUCUUGGCCAAAAAAGGGCACUAACUUUGCUGAAGGUUCUGGCCACUCAGCACUGGCAAUUAACAGUCCCCCCUGCUUUAUUUUUACAAGGAACUAAUCUCACUUUCUAGAACUUGCUCAUUCUCAGAGUGGGUGAUUGUUAGCCUUUAAGACAAUCCACUGGACAGAAAAAUUUUGGGAUGUCUCUGUACCCAGAGCUCAGCAAGCCAGCCACAUAACUUGGUGCCAACACUUAUUGAAUACACAUGUAUAUCAAGUGUUUGCCGUAUGCAAGGUUUUCCAAUCUUACUACUCUGUUCUGCAGAUACUAAAACUGAGGCCCAGAAGGUUCUGCAACCGGCCCUGGGAACACAAAUAGGAAGGGACAGCCUGAACACACACCCUGGGGCCUGGCGCGGCAGCCCAUGCACAGUAGACACUCUCAGCUAAGCAGUGCUGUGGCCCAUGGAGGCCCGAGUGUAGACAUCAUGCCCUACUGUCCCAGCCAGGAUUCUUCGAUAGUAGACAUAAAAAUUCAGAUGCUUCUGAACUCCAAGGCCACAGUGGUUUACAUGGCACCACUGUGGCUGAUGAAUUAUCAAACUUUCUGUCUCCCCCAACUCUGGCAAGAACUUUGGUAGAACUUCUGUGCCACAUCCAGUGCUAGGAACUUGCCAACUUUGCGUCCUUAAAAUAAAGCAGGUUCCAAGAUAGAUGGCAGAAAGUGGAAAACAUUUUUCUUGAUCGGGUAACUAAGAACCAUGCAGCAGGCAGGAGCCAUUUUUGGCCAAAGAAGCUAUUCAUUUAAAAGUGUUUAUCGACACCUGGAAAUAGGGAUUCAGCUUCAAAUGCUAUUUUCGUGUCAGUUUAUGUUGCAUAAUUUCCUAAUGCUGAUAAAAACCUAGGCGAACACCAAAACGAGAAUUCCAAAGUCAUUUCACUGCUGAGACGCUCCUCUGUGUCUGCCCGCUGAAUCUGAGAGCCGAGCAGCCCGGCGGGUCACCUGCUGGUGGAAAGGCAGAGCACAGUGACGGCUCAUCGGGGUUCACACCGACCACCCGAUUUCCUUUCGGUCAGUCUCACGGCUUUUGUUGGUUUGCGUGACAGCCUCAGAUCUUCAGCGAUCACCCCUACUUUGUGCUUGGAAUGUGUUUCCCCCCUUUGGAGGAUGACUCGGAAAGACUCUCCGUCGCUGGAGGAUUCCAUUCUGAGCCUGGUCACCCUCAGUAAACGAGGGAGCGGCUCCGCGCAGCCUUCGGGGUCUGAGGACGGACAGAUGGAAGGGGCGGAGGUAGGGGGUCUUGGCAGAGUCGCUACUUAGGACACGAGGCGAGUGUGGUUUCCGCGUGUGGCAGCAGAGCGACUGGGGGUCCCUGCCUUCCUGCCACGUAAGUUUCAGUGAGGAAAAAACUUGACUCACCACUUUGGCUUAGGAAUAUCUGGUUACCGAGCCGCCUCCCAGGGCGGGGAUGCGCAAGCUGUGGGGGGCUGUAUUUCCCACCGAGGACUUGCUGAAGGCGGGAGGGCCCCCCCCAGAGAAGCACCGAUGCGCAGGUACGUCCGCGUCCAGGGGCCCCGGGCUCCUUGGAGCCCCCGACGCCACCCAUGACUCCGGGGGAUGGGAGGGCUGGCCGAGGACGUGGCAAACAGGAAACGCCCAGGGGACGAGGGUGGAGGGAGAUGAGAUGUCGACGCUGCUCGCGUUCGCGUCUAACCCACGGCUGCUCUCUGUCCCCUCCCCCCGUGCCAGCAGCACCGAGGACGCGACCGCACCACCGCCAGCGGCCCCAGCGACCUCCCGGCACGGUGCGGUGGGG